rnacentral:rRNA from 1 species
UACGUAGGUGGCAAGCGUUGUCCGGCAUUAUUGGGCGUAAAGCGCGCGCAGGCGGCCUUUUAAGUCUGAUGUGAAAGCCCACGGCUCAACCGUGGAAGGUCAUUGGAAACUGAAAGGCUUGAGUACAGAAGAGGAAAGCGGAAUUCCACGUGUAGCGGUGAAAUGCGUAGAGAUGUGGAGGAACACCAGUGGCGAAGGCGGCUUUCUGGUCUGUAACUGACGCUGAGGCGCGAAAGCGUGGGGAGCAAACAGG